rnacentral:rRNA from 1 species
GUGGGGAAUAUUGGGCAAUGGGCGCAAGCCUGACCCAGCGACGCCGCGUGGGGGAAGAAGUCUUUCGGGAUGUAAACCCUUGUUGUACGGGACGAAACGAAUGACGGUACCGUACGAGGAAGCCCCGGCAAACUACGUGCCAGCAGCCGCGGUAAUACGUAGGGGGCGAGCGUUGUCCGGAAUUACUGGGCGUAAAGCGCACGUAGGCGGGCUGUCAAGUCGGCCGUGAAAGGCACUGGCUCAACCGGUGUUUGUCGGGCGAUACUGGCGGUCUGGAGUAUGGGAGAGGGAACUGGAAGUCCCGGUGUAGCGGUGAAAUGCGUAGAUAUCGGGAGGAACACCAGUGGCGAAGGCGACACCCUGGACCGAUACUGACACUGAGGUGCGAAAGCGUGGGUAGCGAACAGGAUUAGAAACCCCGGUAGUCC